UGCCAUCAGCCGCGGUAAUACGGAGGGGGCUAGCGUUGUUCGGAAUUACUGGGCGUAAAGCGCGCGUAGGCGGGCUGGUCAGUUGGGGGUGAAAUCCCGAGGCUCAACCUCGGAACUGCCCUCAAUACUACCAGUCUCGAGUUCGGGAGAGGUGAGUGGAAUUCCUAGUGUAGAGGUGAAAUUCGUAGAUAUUCGGUGGAACACCAGUGGCGAAGGCGACUAACUGGACUGAUACUGACGCUGAGGUGCGAAAGUGUGGGGAGCAAACAGGAUUAGAUA
rnacentral:rRNA from 1 species